GAGGAGUAAGUGAUGACCUGAGCU
rnacentral:piRNA from 1 species